rnacentral:rRNA from 1 species
CUGAAUCCAUAGGUUAAUGAGGCGAACCGGGGGAACUGAAACAUCUAAGUACCCCGAGGAAAAGAAAUCAACCGAGAUUCCCCCAGUAGCGGCGAGCGAACGGGGAGGAGCCCAGAGCCUGAAUCAGCAUGUGUGUUAGUGGAAGCGUCUGGAAAGGCGCGCGAUACAGGGUGACAGCCCCGUACACAAAAGCGCAUGUGCUGUGAGCUCGAUGAGUAGGGCGGGACACGUGGUAUCCUGUCUGAAUAUGGGGGGACCAUCCUCCAAGGCUAAAUACUCCUGACUGACCGAUAGUGAACCAGUACCGUGAGGGAAAGGCGAAAAGAACCCCGGCGAGGGGAGUGAAAAAGAACCUGAAACCGUGUACGUACAAGCAGUGGGAGCACAGGUUUACCUGUGUGACUGCGUACCUUUUGUAUAAUGGGUCAGCGACUUAUAUUCUGUAGCA